rnacentral:rRNA from 1 species
CAGUCGCCGCGGAAUACGUAGGUGGCAAGCGUUGUCCGGAAUUAUUGGGCGUAAAGCGCGCGUAGGCGGUUUUUUAAGUCUGAUGUGAAAGCCCACGGCUCAACCGUGGAGGGUCAUUGGAAACUGGAAAACUUGAGUGCAGAAGAGGAAAGUGGAAUUCCAUGUGUAGCGGUGAAAUGCGCAGAGAUAUGGAGGAACACCAGUGGCGAAGGCGACUUUCUGGUCUGUAACUGACGCUGAUGUGCGAAAGCGUGGGGAUCAAACAGGAUUAGAUACCCCCGUAGUCCCUGUCCUCUUAUAC